UACGGAGGGUGCAAGCGUUAAUCGGAAUUACUGGGCGUAAAGCGUGCGCAGGCGGUUUGUUAAGUCUGCUGUGAAAUCCCCGAGCUCAACUUGGGAAUUGCAGUGGAUACUGGCAGGCUGGAGUAUGGUAGAGGAAGGUGGAAUUCCCGGUGUAGCAGUGAAAUGCGUAGAGAUCGGGAGGAACACCAGUGGCGAAGGCGAGUCUCUGGACAUUUCCUGACGCUGAGGCACGAAAGCCAGGGGAGCAAACGGG
rnacentral:rRNA from 1 species